rnacentral:rRNA from 1 species
UCUACGGGAGGCAGCAGUAAGGAAUAUUGCGCAAUGGGCGACAGCCUGACGCAGCGACGCCGCGUGGGGGAUGAAGGUCUUCGGAUUGUAAACCCCUUUCGGCAGGGAAGAUGGAACGGGAAACCGUUCGGACGGUACCUGCAGAAGCAGCCACGGCUAACUUCGUGCCAGCAGCCGCGGUAAUACGAAGGUGGCAAGCGUUGUUCGGAUUUACUGGGCGUACAGGGAGCGUAGGCGGUUGGGUAAGCCCUUCGUGAAAUCUCCGGGCCUAACCCGGAAAGUGCGGAGGGGACUGCUCGGCUAGAGGAUGGGAGAGGAGCGCGGAAUUCCCGGUGUAGCGGUGAAAUGCGUAGAGAUCGGGAGGAAGGCCGGUGGCGAAGGCGGCGCUCUGGAACAUUUCUGACGCUGAGGCUCGAAAGCGUGGGGAGCAAACAGGAUUAGAUACCCUGGUAGUCCACGCCUUAAACGAUGGAUACUAAGUGUCGGCGGGUUACCGCCGGUGCCGCAGCUAACGCAGUAAGUAUCCCGCCUGGGAAGUACGGCCGCAAGGUUGAAACUCAAAUGAAUUGACGGA